rnacentral:rRNA from 1 species
UACGUAGGGCGCAAGCGUUGUCCGGAAUUAUUGGGCGUAAAGAGCUCGUAGGCGGUUUGUCACGUCGGCUGUGAAAACCCGAGGCUCAACCUCGGGCCUGCAGUCGAUACGGGCAGACUAGAGUGCUGUAGGGGAGACUGGAAUUCCUGGUGUAGCGGUGAAAUGCGCAGAUAUCAGGAGGAACACCGGUGGCGAAGGCGGGUCUCUGGGCCGAUACUGACGCUGAGGAGCGAAAGCGUGGGGAGCAAACAGG